AUCGAACAGCUAUGUGAACAUGGGCAUUUCAUGCAAGCAAAAGUCUGAAUGCCUUUAUGCAUUGGCAUUAUGUUGGAAAUCAGAAUCAAAUUACCAGUAGCCUGAAAAAUUGCUAUUGUGGAACAGGUUCAUUAUCCUCUAGGAUGUCUGCAAAGAAUUUGAUUGUAGAUCUCCAGGACUUGAUGGUUACAGAUCUGAAAUUACAGCUACUAUACCUGAGCGGAUAUUGAAUAGUGUCUGAUGGCAAAGAGUUCUUUCUGUCGCAGUCAACAGAGAAUGAAGAGAUGGCCUUGGAAGUGAUUCCUUUGCUCCAUGGUUGCAGUGUUUUACCCCCUUCCCUUCAUGGUGUGCUUGUGCAGGCACUUCAGAAUAUAUUGAUUUCCCUAAAGAAGAAUGUGAAGCAAAUCUGCUUUUGUGUCUUUCACAGUACUGAAAGUACAUAACCAGGUACAUCUUUAUUUCCUAUGUUGAGUUGGCAGCCAGCCUGGGUGAAGGGAUGUUUCUGGGGCAGUCCAUGAAGACGUGCAGGUGCUGGCCGGAGAGAAACCUGCAUGGUGAGCAGCACAGCCUCCACACCAGCAGAUAGUGCUGCCAUUUGUGUGCUAAACUCUGCUCCAAUCGUUACAUUGGAGUUUUAUCUGAUGACCAUUUUAUUUAAUGCUUCAGAGGAAAAGCCAGGAAAAGGCCCUUGUGAAAUGAAAUUCCUGUAAUGUUACUGCUGGCCAUGGAAAUCCGGUAAGCAAACAGGGACCAUAGGUGGUAGGGUGGCCUGGCUGGCUGGGCUGGCAAAGGGCAUCUCCUGGGCACGGAUACCUUGCAGAUGGGAUUUGGCACCAGGGCUCUUCCUGCACCUUAUGGCAGUGUCUGAUUGGCUGAUCGUUAACUUGGCUCCUAGACAGACAGUGGAACUGUCCUCUGGCUAUUCCACAUGGUAUAAAUGUCAUAGGAUUGGCUCCCUCAGGAAGCGAGCUUGUUCCUAGCAGUACUAAAGGAAACUCCAACACACUGGAGCACUUGCAUGGGUUACAGUGGAGUCUGGCCUGGGGAGCUGAGCACAUCACUCCGUCAGAACUAAAGGAUGAUGUGCAGAACUGGCACCCUGUGGCAUUGGUGUGUUUCCAAGAUAAGGUGCCAGCUAAAUGGUACUUUCAGGCUGAGUAGCUAAUACCUUUCUAACAUUUAAGUACAGGGCCUCUCACUUCCUUGGAUCAUACCACGUUCACAUUAGCUAACAUUUGAUUGUUAUGUAUCUCCUAAGGGUUUUGUGUUCUCUGAAGGACUCUAUAAUAAUGUAUUAAAAAAAAAAAUAGUCUUUGAUUGCCUCAAGACAGGCAAACACCUUGUUGUUGACAUUGUGAAUCUCUUCAAAAACCACAGCAUGUUUUAAAUAGUUUUAAAGUGUCCAUUUUUGUUCUCAUUCAGAGACAGCUAGAUUUAGUAUCACUCCAGGAUGUUAUUAUUUUAUCUAAGGAGAAAACAAUAAAGGACUAAC
ensembl:lncRNA